AAUAUUUGACAAUGGGCGAAAGCCUGAUCCAGCCAUGCCGCGUGUGUGAAGAAGGUCUUCGGAUUGUAAACUUCUGUCUUCAGGGAAGAAGGAAGUGACGGUACCUGAGGAGGAAGCCCCGGCUAACUACGUGCCAGCAGCCGCGGUAAUACGUAGGGGGCGAGCGUUGUCCGGAAUGACUGGGCGUAAAGGGCGCGUAGACGGCUUUUUAAGUCUGGAGUGAAAAUCCUGCUUUCAAGGUAGGAAUUGCUUUGGAGACUGGAAGGCUUGAGUGCGGAAGAGGUAAGUGGAAUUCCCAGUGUAGCGGUGAAAUGCGUAGAGAUUGGGAAGAACACCAGUGGCGAAGGCGACUUACUGGGCCGUAACUGACGUUGAUGCGCGAAAGCGUGGGGAGCGAACAGG
rnacentral:rRNA from 1 species